AGUGGGACUUCAGGGGCGCCUUCACCCACAAGAGUAAAUGGUCUGAUACUGCUCCCUCUAUUCAUGCUUUUAAGUUUGAUGACGUUGAAUUUCAUCGCGUCUGUCCCUGCACAGAUGUAGCGACAUAUUGUGAUCGUUCAAGUGGAGCCGCUCGGCUCAAAACAGGCGAAGUAGAGCAAGGAAAGGGGAGGCUGUGACAGGCCUUGCUGGACAGGGGCUCCACCGCCACCAUCGUACACCUGGAUCUCCUUCCUGGAUCUCCUUCCUGCAGGCGGACAGCUACAGCCCGCAGGCCCCUUCCAGAGACAUUUUCAUUGUCGAUAACGAUGUGGGCGUCGUUAAAAGCAUU